rnacentral:lncRNA from 1 species
AUCCAUUUGGCAUUUCUUUCCUUCAGUCAAUGUUGUUGUUAGAAAUGUGUAGGGCCUUGAAAAAAAAUUAAAUGGAACCAGGGACUUUAGUGCUAAUGUACAGAGAUCAUUCUAGUCCAAACCACCCAUUCUCCCUACUGGUGAAUCCGACUCUGGAGCAUCGAGAUCCAAUGAGGACCUUCCUGCAGGAAAAGGCCCUCUUGCCCACAGAGCUUGUUUAGAGGGAAAAAGUCAGGGAGAUUCAAGCCGCAGUUCUUCCACUGUGGAGGGCAUUUCUACUUCUGACCAGGGUAGCAGAAUGAUGAAGUCUUCUGACAAGGGCAAGGACAAGGGUAUCCAGUACAGGGACAUUGGAAAGAUCAAAGCAGACCUCUCCUGCUCAGUCUUUCCCAUCACAGCAACUGGAGUUGUGGAGUCCAGCUGUCGGAGUCAAAACCUAGGAGUCAAGAGACAGGAGAGGAUGGAAGAACUCUGACAGAUUGGAAAUUAAGAAGCAAUAAUAAAUGUAAUGUAGAAUUGUGGAUAGUAUCCUGGAACAGAAAAAAGACAGGGCAAAAACUGCUGAAGUUAGAAUAAAGUCUAUGGUUUAACUAACAAUAUUAUAUCACUGCUGAUCUUCUGGUGUUGGUCAUUGUUGUAAGAUGUUUGACGGUUAACACUAGGAAGGCAAAGAGACCAAGGGCCAAGCUGACUUCAUCCUUCACCAUACUGGGGUGCUUCCCACACUUGCCCCAGCGCAAUUCAGUAUGCACUCAGC